rnacentral:rRNA from 1 species
CAAUAGCGUAUAUUAAAGCUGUUGCGGUUAAAAAGCUCGUAGUUGGAUUUCUGUCAAGGACAACUGGUCCGCCCCUCGGGUGAGCACAUAGUUUGGUCUUGGCAUCUUGUUGGAAACUGUUGCUGCACUUGGUUGUGUGGCGCAGUGUCCAGCACUUUCACUUUGAGGAAAUUGGAGUGUUUCAAGCAGGCACAUGCCUUUGGACACAGUAGCAUGGAAUAAUUAGAUUGGGCUUUUGCUCCAACUUGUCGGUUUCUGGAGCUGAGGUGAGAAUUAAUGGGGAUUGGUGGGGGCAUCCGAAUUUAGCCGUCAGAGGUGAAAUUCUUGGAUCUGCUAAAGACGGACAACUGCGAAAGCGUUUGCCCAGGAUGUUUUCAUUGA